CUAUUAGGUUUUACCAACUCGUUAUACUAAUCUACAAGUUUGACCUCAAAUCAGGUAGGACUACCCGCUGAACUUAAGCAUAUCAAUAAGCGGAGGAAAAGAAACCAACCGGGAUUGCCUCAGUAACGGCGAGUGAAGCGGCAAAAGCUCAAAUUUGAAAUCUGCGUAAGCCGAGUUGUAAUUUGAAGAUGGCUACUUUGGUAAUGGCUCUUGUCUAUGUUCCUUGGAACAGGACGUCACAGAGGGUGAGAAUCCCGUGCGAUGAGAUGUCCAUUACCGUGUAAAGUGCUUUCGAAGAGUCGAGUUGUUUGGGAAUGCAGCUCUAAGUGGGUGGUAAAUUCCAUCUAAAGCUAAAUAUUGGCGAGAGACCGAUAGCGAACAAGUACAGUGAUGGAAAGAUGAAAAGAACUUUGAAAAGAGAGUGAAAAAGUACGUGAAAUUGUUGAAAGGGAAGGGCUUGAGAUCAGACUUGGUAUUUUGUAUGGCUUGCUUUCGGGCGGGUCCUCUGCAGUUUACUGGGCCAGCAUCGGUUUGGGUGGCAGGAUAAUAGCAUAGGAAUGUGGCUCUACUUCGGUGGAGUGUUAUAGCCUUUGUUGAUACUGCCUGCCUAGACCGAGGACUGCGUCUUUGACU
rnacentral:sRNA from 1 species